GUUUGCAUAUUGAUCAGAUGCUUCAGUGCUCUGAGAGUGUUUAUAGUGCUGUGAGUUUAACACUUCAUCACUGACACACACAACAAUCUUCAUCAACAUGACCUUCAUCAUCAUCUUCAUCUGGACUCUCACAGCGUUUGCUCAAGAGUGUAGAGGACAGAUCAGCGUCACUCAGAGUCCCUCAACAGCAGCAGCUCAACCAGGAGAAACAGUGAAGAUCAGCUGCAAAACCAGCACUGAUGUGUACAGAUGGAGUGAUGGAGAUGAAGGUUUAUUCUGGUACUUACAGAAACCUGGAGAAGCUCCUAAACUCCUGAUUUAUUAUGCUAAAGAUCUCUACACUGGAACUCCAUCUAGAUUCAGUGGCAGUGGAUCUAACAGUGAUUUCACUCUGACCAUCAGUGGAGUCCAGACUGAAGAUGCUGGACAUUAUUACUGUCUGGGUCGCCACGAUAUCGGCAGCACAACGUUCACACAGUGAUAAAGCGUCGUACAAAAACCUCUGUCACAGUCAAAUGAACACAAACUGCACGACACUCACACACACUCGAAUACUAGAUAAUUGGAUUGACUUUCACAAAAACAGCCUCAUCAUAUCUAAAUGUCUCUUGAUGCAUGAAAACUAGAAAUUAUUUAUAAAUAAAAAAGUAAAUAAAAUAAUUAAAUUGCAUUAUUCAGGAAAUGAAUGUAUAAAUCCCAUUUUUAUUAGACAUUAAUUUUGGGUAUCUAAAUGAUCAUUUAUUUCUCAAAGCAUUUAAAAUCAUAAAAGCAGCUUUUAAAAUAUGUUUUGAUGACCUUUGAUCUCUGGAAUGACCUUUGCCCUCUCAUGGAGUUCACAGUAAUAUACUUGUUUCUUAAUGAAACUGUGAUUUCAAUCAUCAGAAAA